CCGUGGCAGGCUCUCUCCUGGGCAAUGGCGAUCUCGCAGGACGGAUGCCACGCUACGAGCGGCAACAAUCGGCGAUGGCGAUCGUGCACGGAGGUGACGGGACGGUGCAGUGCGGCGUGGUCGCCGCGCAGGCAGGAGACGCCAUUGGUUGGCGGCGUAUGUGCCUGGCGGUGAGGUCAAGGUCAAGGGCGUGAAGUUCCGUGAUUGUAGGGGACGCUGGGCUGGUUGUUAGUUUGCGAUCUGAUUUCCGUGAUUGUAGGGGACGCGCGGGGCUGGUCGUUCGACUACUACUCUCCUGGUGAAGUACGGUCAGUCAUUGGUAAAUGCUAAGUGCACACCGUAGAGGUAUUGGAUUAAUGAUGGCCGUUAGAUUGAGACUUGUUGGCCUAAUUGUGUGGUGCUGAUUGACUCGUGCGUUAUUGUGGGACUAAUUGCGGGGUGCAUGUAAGAAAGUUCUUGUUUGAUUGUUUAAUAGUAGUAGAGAUUUCAGGCCUGGGAGCAAAAGACGAAAUAAUGUCAUUUGCAAUCAAUGGUGAUACAAUAUUUGUAUGAAACAUAAUAAAGAAAAACUAAUAGGCGUACAUGUAUUAAAAAAAUGGCACUGGUGUGUUUCUGCUGCCUAAUUGACACCUUGCAUCAUAUUCUGCAUAUGGGUAACA
rnacentral:lncRNA from 1 species